UGUUACAAAUAAGUCAUUCGUAACCUGGAUCAGAGACAGCAGAUACUUUCAAAUAAGAUGCAAGUCACGAGGUCCAGCCCACACUCAAGGGUAAAGGAAUUAAGCUCCACUUUCUGGAGGGAGAGAUAUCAAAGAAAUUGUGGACAUAUGUUAAAACCACCCACUAAGUCUGAGUCUUGUUCUGUCACCCAGGCUGAAGUGCAGUGGCAUGAUCCUAGUUCACUGCAGCAUCGAACUCCUGGCCUCAAGC